UCUACAUUACAGCUGUCGUUACAGGCUCGCCAGCAACUUAAUUCCCCUUCAGUGGAGCAUGUGGCCCUGGACUGCACACUGCACACCAGGCAGGGACACCCGGGAGCAAAGAAAACCCUCUCAUUUCCUUGUUACCCAAACACGCUGAAGAGCGACUUUGGAAACUCAGCCCAGCCAGCAUUCUCCGCCCGCAGCGUGGUCCAGGCUGCUGAAACUCUCAUUACAACGGCUCUUCGGAUGAAAGAGUGGAGCCCAGAAACCUUACUUAGCAAUCAGCGCCCAGCACCGCGAUCUGAGUGCCAAUAAGGAACAGGCAUUUUCGCUCUUCACAGCGUUUUUGCUGUGUCACGGAGAGAUGGCAGAAGGGCUGCUAUUUCAUCGGCUAAAUGCUAUCAUUUUAAGCACCGUUCCAAAGAAAACAGGGAUCUUGCCAGAGGAAAAUAACACACACCAAACACGAAGAAAAAUUUACAUCAAGGCGAGUUCUGCUCACCAGAAAGACGGACCACAUGCCUGGAGAGUUGGGGACUUGGAGCCCGCCUGGCCUCUGGGGCGGGGCGGCAGUCACAGGGCCAAUGAUGCAAUCAAACAUGCUUAAUGAUGAAACCCCACUAAAAACUCGGGACCCAGAAGGUCAGUGGAGCUUCCUGGUUGAACACAUUGAUGUACAGGGAGGGGAUGCCCUGGCUCCACCAGCAGAGGGAUGGAAGCUCCCCCCUGCCUUCCAGACCUCAUCACGCGUGUUUCCUUCAUAAUAAAGCUGUGAUCAGAAGUACUGAC